rnacentral:lncRNA from 1 species
ACAUGGAAACUUUAAAUAUGUUUUAAAAACUGCACAUGUAAUAAGAAUGAUUAUGAACCUAAGGAAAUUUAAACUUUUUAUUUCCACAAAAGUAUUUGAAGUUUUCAUUUCAAACUAAACAGGAUACUGUUUGUUUAUAUAUUUGAAGAAAAAAAAAAAAAGAUUGAAUAGAUCGCAAGCAGCUCAGAUAGGGCAGAUAAAAAAAUCUCGCAGGGCUGACAUUGGGAAGACUAAGCCAGGUGCUUAGGAAACUGAAGGUAGGCGUACCGUACAGGGUGUGUAACCGUAAGGGUUGGCAAUGGCUCUGGGUAGACCAGAGCAAAGUCUUCCCUGAAGCUGUGUGGACGUCCUGGGAUUGGAAUGCCGGCCUUGUCGGCAUUACUUCUGUGUGUAGUGAGUUGAGUAUGUGAGAAGCAUGUUCAUAGAUGUUGACAGACCUGUUUUACUUGUUUCUCAGUCUUUUCAGAUCAUUGCUUAUAAAACACUGAUAUUUACAGUAAAUACCUUGUUUAAAUAUAGGCUCACCUGCCAAACCGUGUGUCCUUGUGCUGCACUCGUUUAAUGACUUUGCCCUUGACAUGUCAUCUGGGUGACUUUCAGUGACAGAAUGUUUGAAGGAGAUAAAGGGAAAAGCAGGAAGAGAAUAGCAUUUCCAGGAAAAAGCAGUCAUACAAGGGACAGGCUGGGGAGAGAAUAAAAGACGAUUUCUGUUGUGUGACCUUUGGCUGAUUCCUGAAGCAGACUGAUUUCAUUUGCCUUGUUUGUAAAUGAGAACAUUAUAGUGUGGUAAGUUCCUUUACCUCUGACUUCAUCCAGUGAUCUGUUUUAUUGUGUGUUUGUCUUUUUUUUUUUUUUUGUCUUUUUGUCUUUUUUUUUUUGUCUUUUUGCCAUUUCUUGGGCCGCUCCCGUGACAUAUGGAGUUUCCCAGGCUAGGGGUCUAAUCGGAGCUGUAACUGCCAGCCUAUGCCAGAGCCACAGCAACUCGGGAUCCUACACCACAGCUCACGGCAACGCCGGAUCGUUAACCCACUGAGCAAGGGCAGGGAUCGAACCCGCAGCCUCAUGGUUCCUAGUCGGAUUCGUUAACCACUGCGCCACGACGGGAACUCCUCUUUUUGUCUUUUUAUGGCCGCACCCUUGGCAUAUAGAGGUUCCCAGGCUAGAGGUCAAAUCGCAGCUGUGGCUGCUGGCCUACACACCACAGCUACAUCAAUGCAGGAUCCGAGCCAGAUCCGAGCCACAUCUGUCACCCACACCACAGCUCACGGCAACGCCGGAUCCUUAACCCACUGAGCGAGGCCAGGGAUCGAACCCACAUCGUCAUGGUUCCUAGUCAGAUUCAUUUAACCACUGCGCCACGAUGGGAACUCCCUGCAAUAUUUAGCAUUUUGAGUUCUAUGUUAAACCACCUGGAUUCAUCUGUAAAAUGGAGUUAGCUAUUUCCUAACUUGUAAUGAUAAUUUAAUUAGAUAAUCCAGAUAAUCAUUUAGCACGCUGCCUGACACAAACUAAGCCCUUGGGAACUAAUCCACUCUUCAAAACUCAAGUUCCGAUGUCUUAGUAUUACCUGGAUCUUGGAUCUCCUCGGUCCUCUCUUUGUGCCUUAAGUGUGUCUUCUAACUUUCUAGUUAGGCACUGCCACUAGUCCUGAAAUUGUCACCAGUCCUGAAAUUGUCAGCAGUUUAUCUGCAUGUAUAGUUCUCCUCUUGGAUUAUGAGCCCUUUGAGGACAGAAACAGGUUUAUUUGUCUUCAUAAAUUCGAUGUCUGACUUUAUAAAUUUUGCUGAAAGAAUAAAAUUGUAUUCUUGUUUUUAAAUAGGGUCCCCUCCCUCUCUCAGUGGACGAUAAUGCUGGAGCAAAGGUGACCAGUAGAAGUGUUCUCGGAAAUUCUCGUCAUGUUCUCAAACCACUUUUUUUUUUUUUUUUAAACAGCUACUUAAUUGCCACUGUACUCCCAAGGAUUAGAUAGUUUUUUUACUUUGCUUCUUCACAUGGUUUUCCUUAUUAAAAAAGUUACAGUAAGAAAGUAACUGGCAGGUGGAGAACUAUCCACUAAACAUGAAUAAAAGUCAGAGUUGCAUGCAGGCAGCAUAAUGACAGUAUAAAGAGGUUGAUCUUGGAGUCAAGGUGCUGGGUUCCUGCCACAGCAUCUGCCAUUUUCUAGCUGCAGGACUUUUUUCUCUCUCGCUCUACAGUGUGGUCCUAUUUCAUGGUGCUUGGUAUAACAGUAAGAAAAGUAGACUGGAGGCUGUGAAGGGGACUAGAGUUAGUCCUCUGGUGGUGCUCCGGAUAGACCAGAGCACAAGUCUUUUCUAGAGUUCUUAGAAUGAUCAAUAGGAGAUAAUAUUCGUGUAGUCCCAACACUGUGCCUGCUUGAUAGAAGAUACUCAGUUAUUUCUCAGCACAGAAAUGCAGGUCUAGGGAGUUCCCGUGUGGCAUAGCCAGUUAAGGAUCUGGCAUUGUCAUUGCGGUGGUGCAGGUUCAGGCUCAAUCCUUGGGCCUGGGAACUUCUGCAUGCCACAGAUGGAG